UACGUAGGGUGCGAGCGUUAAUCGGAAUUACUGGGCGUAAAGCGUGCGCAGGCGGCGCCGCAAGUCAGGCGUGAAAUCCCCGAGCUUAACUUGGGAAUGGCGCUUGAAACUACGGUGCUGGAGUGUGGCAGAGGGAGGUGGAAUUCCACGUGUAGCGGUGAAAUGCGUAGAGAUGUGGAGGAACACCGAUGGCGAAGGCAGCCUCCUGGGCCAGCACUGACGCUCGAUGCACGAAAGCGUGGGGAGCAAACAGG
rnacentral:rRNA from 1 species